CAGCAGCCACGGUAAUACGAAGGGGGCUAGCGUUGCUCGGAAUGACUGGGCGUAAAGGGCGCGUAGGCGGUUUUGACAGUCAGAUGUGAAAUUCCUGGGCUUAACCUGGGGGCUGCAUUUGAGACGUCAAGACUAGAGUGUGAGAGAGGGUUGUGGAAUUCCCAGUGUAGAGGUGAAAUUCGUAGAUAUUGGGAAGAACACCGGUGGCGAAGGCGGCAACCUGGCUCAUUACUGACGCUGAGGCGCGAAAGCGUGGGGAGCAAACAGGAUUAGAUACCCCCGUAGUCCCUGUCUCUUAUAC
rnacentral:rRNA from 1 species